rnacentral:antisense_RNA from 1 species
CCUUUUGGUGGCCAUGCGCAGGGUCUCUCCGGAGACGCCGGUUCCAAUGCCCGGUCUACCAACCUUCGUAUGGCCGCCACCCUC